CCGAGUUAGGGUUGCCUCCCACGGCGCCCGACCUCCCAACCCUGUGUCUACACUACCUUGUCGUUGCUUCGGCGGACCGGUUCCCGACCAACUGGUUCGCACGACCGCCGGGGUCGGCUCAGCCGUCCUGGAGAGUGUCCGCCGAUGGCCACUUACACAAAACUCUUUGAACAAAAACCUGUCGUCUGAAUUUACUUUAUUGAUUACACAAUCAAACCA
rnacentral:misc_RNA from 1 species